GGAGUCUCCAAGAGUACUUGGAAGGAGGAAGAUCGCGACUUGGCAUACCAAAAGCAGCAACACUGGCAUCGCUUUUUCGGAAUGGGGUUUGGCAAAUACCAUCAGCUAGAACAGAGUAUCAAAUACAGGUUCUCUCCUUCAUUACUACGAUUCAAUUCACAGAGGAGUCAGAUUACUUUGAAUGGGAAAUCAAUGGAAAGGUUAGCGAAAAAUAUAGUACUGGUCAAGUUUAUCACUACCUGAGAGGAGAUAUUGAUACUGUUGACUGGGCAAAAGCUGUUUGGACAUCAAGAAAUAUCCCAGGGCACAGUUUCCAUGUUUGGCUAGUGGUGCUCAACAGGAUUCCAACUAGAGAUCGGAUGCUGGGUUGGGGCCUUCAAGUCCCUUCUCUUUGCCUCCUAUGCAAUACUAAUGAUGAGUCGCGUGAUCACCUCUAUUGGGAAUGUGAUUUCGCGUUCCAGCUAUGGAGUCUCGUUGCGGGAAGAUGCGGGAUCCAUCCGCAGCGGCGAUGGGAGAGCUCUCUACAUCAUAUGAUUUCUCUCCCCCCUCCCCCAUCAACUACUCGAUCUCUAACACUCCUGGGAUGGCAAGCCACAAUCUACUGGAUUUGGCAAGAGAGAAAUCAGCGACUGCAUGUGAAUCAAUUCCGAUCCUUUGAUUGCCUCUUCAGCUUAAUUGAUCACCAAAUCAGAAACAAAAUACAGAACUUCCGAGAGACCAACGCGAGACGGUCGUCGGCAAUGAUGCAGCUAUGGUUUCGUUAACUUCUACUGGGUCUCCAUCGAUUUCUC
rnacentral:lncRNA from 1 species